rnacentral:ribozyme from 13 species
UUUUUUCUUUUUUCUUUUUUCUUUUUUCUUUUAAUCUUCUUUUUGGGAGGCAAAUGGGAAGAGAGCGGAGGAAAAGGAAUGAGGGGAUGCAGU